rnacentral:rRNA from 1 species
AGUGAACGCUGGCGGUAGGCCUAACACAUGCCAGUCGAACGGCAGCACAGUAAGAGCUUGCUCUUACGGGUGGCGAGUGGCGGACGGGUGAGGAAUACAUCGGAAUCUACUUUUUCGUGGGGGAUAACGUAGGGAAACUUACGCUAAUACCGCAUACGACCUACGGGUGAAAGCAGGGGAUCUUCGGACCUUGCGCGAUUGAAUGAGCCGAUGUCGGAUUAGCUAGUUGGCGGGGUAAAGGCCCACCAAGGCGACGAUCCGUAGCUGGUCUGAGAGGAUGAUCAGCCACACUGGAACUGAGACACGGUCCAGACUCCUACGGGAGGCAGCAGUGGGGAAUAUUGGACAAUGGGCGCAAGCCUGAACCAGCCAUACCGCGUGGGUGAAGAAGGCCUUCGGGUUGUAAAGCCCUUUUGUUGGGAAAGAAAAGCAGCAGGUUAAUACCCCGCUGUUCUGACGGUACCCAAAGAAUAAGCACCGGCUAACUUCGUG